rnacentral:rRNA from 1 species
ACCAGCAGCCAUAUCACCCUGUGACUCCCAACUGGUUGCCCACUGAAGCUCAGCAGGUGUGAGCCUGGUCAGUACCUGGAUGGGAGACCUCUUGAGAAAGCUAAGGUUGCUGCUGGAA